AUACGGAGGGUGCAAGCGUUAAUCGGAAUUACUGGGCGUAAAGCGCACGCAGGCGGUCUGUUAAGUCAGAUGUGAAAUCCCCGGGCUUAACCUGGGAACUGCAUUUGAAACUGGCAGGCUUGAGUCUUGUAGAGGGGGGUAGAAUUCCAGGUGUAGCGGUGAAAUGCGUAGAGAUCUGGAGGAAUACCGGUGGCGAAGGCGGCCCCCUGGACAAAGACCGACGCUCAGGUGCGAAAGCGUGGGGAGCAUACAGGAUUAGAUACCCUGGUAGUCCACGCCGUAAACGAUGUCGACUUGGAGGCUGUGAGCAUGACUCGUGGCUUCCGGAGCUAACGCGUUAAGUCGACCGCCUGGGGAGUACGGCCGCAAGGUUAAA
rnacentral:rRNA from 1 species